rnacentral:lncRNA from 1 species
ACUUUAAAUUGGUUACAUAUAUUCAGUAUUGUUGAAUGCUUUGUGGAAAGUAUGCCUGGACCUGCACAACUGACAAAGUGCAGGAAAUAUAGACCUGUUAGUCCUUUUUCUCAAAGCCCCCUCCAUCUCUGAAGUAAGGAAACAGUGUCUGAGUGCCCUCUGACUUGCUUCAUCUAAGUAGCAAAUGAGCUCCCUUUAGAUCAGAAGUGAACUGGAAAGGAUGAAAAUCUAUUGUUUAUGUCAAAGCUCUGUCUUCUGAAAACUUAAGCUGCAUAUUCGAACAAUCCAUUCUUUAAUAAGAUAAUAGACUAAGUGCAUUUAAGACUGGUUUUCUUCUAACAGUGGUUCUGUUUUCUCUUGUUCAUGGUCCUAAAGGUGAAAAGCAAGUGAAAGUUAUAGCUGUGUUCCUUGAGAGUGUUACUUAUAGCCAAUUUGAAGCAAUUAGUUAUUUUUAAGAGCAAAGUUUCAUGUUUAGCAUUUGUUAAAUAAGGAAAAUGUUUUCUGCACAAAGGUUUGAUGUAAUGGUGAAGGGUUAGGGAGAUGGAGAUCCAUAGAAACUCAAUACACAAAAUCAAAAUCUCUAAAAUAUUUCUCAAGUUAUUUCCUGAAGAGAAAAGAUUGUUUACAAAGUCAGGGUAGUCUUUGCCCCAGAUCCCUGUCUCUUGAAUAGAGCUACAUGUUAAUAUCACAUGCAGGAAGAACUAAGUACCUGUGCAUUGUAAAUCUAGGUAGUGCUGAAACUCUGGGCAUUGAGUUGUAUUGUGGUGCCAUCUACAUCUUGUGUUUGUUUUUUUUUUUUUAAAAAAAAAGAAAACAUGGUUCUAAGAUGUCUGCAGUCUUUUCUUGUGUAACUUACUAAUGGUGUCCUUACAGUCUCACAGGUAACUUGGUUGUGGUAGCUCUCCUUGGAGCAGAUACAGGCUAUGUAAGGGGCAGUCAGAUUGGAACAAGUUGUACUGUAGGUAGGGUCAUAAAACUACUUCUGAAAGAUUGAAUGAGUCAAGUUUAUCAGCACAGCAGUAACAUGAAUCUUGCAGGGUACCAAUGAUCUGUCACAGUCUUGGAAUAUCUGCUGAUAAUGUACUGCCUAUAGGAGCAAUGCUCCUUGCUUUCUGAGAUGUCUAAAGCUGGCCUUUUCUCCUCUGCCUGAAGUUUCUUGCUGCUGUGUGGAGCAGUGGAGUAUUAAAUGUCUUCUAACUUCACUUAAAACAGUUGUAUGUAGCAUGAUAGUUUUAAGCUGUAAGUGGUAAGCUGUUUAAAUCAUUGCUGCUGUUCUGUGAGCUGUGCUGCAGUUUUAAUGAUUUGAAUGGCUAACAGUAUAGGCUAGCACAGAUUAAAAAAAGUCAGCAAGCUCACUGCUGCCUGUUCCUGAAACUGCCAUUUCAGAUGGAUGGUAAGUAGCAUCAGUAUUAAAAUAAUUGGACUGCAGCAGCUGUACUCUAGAAAAACAAACCUACUUCAUGUUCUUCCCUAAACAAACUGAUUACAACCUGAGGAUUUUUUUUUUUUUAAAGAAAACAACAAGACAAACCUAGAUCUAUAACAUGCUGGCUCUAUGUAGGUGCAGAUGGGGGGGAAUGCACACAGAAUGUCAUGUUUAGUACUUGAAGGAAAGAUUCUUCAUCAGAUCUCGGACCUGUUGCAGGCCAUUUAAAUCAGUAAGAUGCACAGUAAAAUGGCACAACUGGAAAUGCCUCCCUCUUCACUUCUGGGCAAAGAGGGUCUUGAAAUUUAUAUACAACCAAAGUCUUCUACUAAGAUUACAAUUUUUCUAGUGUAACUAUGCAUUAGGAUUUGUUUUCACUCAUACAAGCAAAGUUAAAGUUGUAAGUAUCUUAGACUUCUAUAGUGACCUAGGUAAUAUCUAAAACACUACUUAAAUGUAGCUUGCUGUUAUUUGAAACUCACUUUUGACAUUGAAAUAUGUUGUUUUGUGGUUAAUUUAAAUUUUGUGUGGGUUGUUUCUUAAAAGGGCCUUGGUGUUUGUAGUUUGCAUUUUUGUUUGCUGCAGCAAAAAAGAAAGCUGCUUAUGAAUAAAAAGAAAAGUAUGAAUGCACUGCUUUCAAAAAACAACAACAACAAUAAACAACUUUCUGGUUCUAAACACCAACUCAACAUUUGUACACCUUUAACUAGAACCUCUUUUAAUAAUCAUCUUGGUGCUCCAGUGCAGAGCUGUCAGGUUUUACUUCUACAAGCAAAACUGUAUCAGCUUGAAUGGUCAUGCCUCAUUAAGAGUUUGACAUUGUUGCAUCAAUUUCUCUUUGAUAUUACUAAUUUUUAUACAAAGUAUUCAAUAUUUAUUCUAAAACUUUGCUCUGUACCACAAAAAUACAAUUGUUUUGUAAGAUUUGAUUUGAAUAAACAGACUUGUUUCUUUUCUUUUUAAAAAAAAGAAAUUUCUUGUUGCUUUCUUUGUAACUGACAAGCUUGGCUCUGAUGCUUAGAUGCUAUUCUGAGGACAAUGAGGCAGUGUCCUUCCGGGGUGGUGUCUGGGGUUUUUUGUGUUUUGUUUUUGUCGUUGGAGCUUAC